rnacentral:rRNA from 1 species
UACGUAGGUCCCGAGCGUUGUCCGGAUUUAUUGGGCGUAAAGCGAGCGCAGGUGGUUUAUUAAGUCUGGUGUAAAAGGCAGUGGCUCAACCAUUGUAUGCAUUGGAAACUGGUAGACUUGAGUGCAGGAGAGGAGAGUGGAAUUCCAUGUGUAGCGGUGAAAUGCGUAGAUAUAUGGAGGAACACCGGUGGCGAAAGCGGCUCUCUGGCCUGUAACUGACACUGAGGCUCGAUAGCGUGGGGAGCAAACAGG